rnacentral:rRNA from 1 species
AUACGGAGGAUCCGAGCGUUAUCCGGAUUUAUUGGGUUUAAAGGGUGCGUAGGCUGACUGAUAAGUCAGCGGUGAAAAGCAUAGGCUUAACCUAUGUCUUGCCAUUGAUACUGUUAGUCCAGAAUAUAAAUGGUGCAGGCGGAAUGAAUCAUGUAGAGGUGACAUUCAUAGAUAUGAUUCAGAACACCGAUCGCGAAGGCAGCUUGCAAAGAUAUUAUUGACGCUGAGGCACGAAAGCGUGGGUAGC